AGAAUGCUUUGUUCUGCUUUACUCUGUUUUCCAGGACCAAAGUUUUAUUCCACACUUUGCAGCACAUAUUAAACCCAUGUUAUUGUCUGAUAGAAUACUGAGGGUCCCCAAGGAGAGGGCUUGUUAGUGUAGGAAUGAUUUUUAAUAUGGUUAGCAUCUAUUAGAUUAUACGUUUUUAAAUAGUAUUAUAUUUAACAGGAAUAUAGGACAUCUAUGAGGAGUUAGGAUUAUUGUUGGGAUUAAGAUAGAUUGAUUAAGGAAUUUGGAGAAAAGCCGCUCAUAGACAUUUUUUUUCUAAAAGAGGGUCCAUGGGUUUGUAGUUCCCAUGUAGUUCAAAUUUGGAAAACAUGAGAAACAUACAGAGGAGCCCUCCCACGCACCGCAGAGACCUUGAAGGUGGGAGAGCAGAGAAGUUAGAGGGGGGUGCAGGAAGAGCAAAGAUAACAUAGUGGGUAAAUAAGUUUCUAAAUGGGUCAGAAUGGGAGCUGUAGAUAGAGGUAUUUGGCAUAAAGGGAAUCUACCUGUUUUACCUAAGUCACUGUUUAAAUAUGCUGCUGUAUUGAUACAUGAGCAAAGCCAUGUAUCAACAGGGGGGAUGGUAAGAAUGGUUAAACAGCACUUUGUAGCAUAUGGAAUAACUAACUAUUUUAAAAACUUUUGCUCACGGUGUACUAUAUUGAAUUAACUAAGAGUGAAAACAAGAAGUGGUGUUUAACAAUAAUUGAUAAAUAUACCAAAUGGGUAGAAGUGUUUCCUACAUCCUCAGCAGACGCAGAAACAGUGGCUAGAGCAUUAUGUCAGGAGAUAAUUCCGCGAUUUGGAUUACCAGAAGUAAUUGAGCAUAUAGGUCAGAAAUUGGAUAUAAAUAUGAAGAAACAUAGUUCUUAUCACCCCCAAAGCGCUGGCCUUAUCGAGAACAUGAAUCGAUCGGUAAAAGGUUGAUUAAGGAAAACACACCUAAGUACUGGAAUGAACGGGAUAAAAUGCCUGCCCAUAGUGUUAAUGACUAUUAGAAUAACCCCUGAUAGGGAGGGGCUAUCUCCAUUUGAGAAGGUUUUUGGUAGACCCUAUAGAAUGCCCCAAUUAGGGCGAUUAGAAAUAGAAAGCAGUAUGGUGGGACACAUGAGGAGGUUGUUCAUUAAUCAAACACGUAUGUCAAAAGUUUUAUGCCCAGCAGGAGAAUUAGAGGGAGGUGGCACACGAGAUUCAACCAGGAGACUGGAUCUGGAUCCAAUCAUUGAAGAAAAAAAACUGGAAGCAGCCUCGGUGGGAGGGACCAUUCCAAGUACUACUGGUGACUGCCUUCGCGGCCUUGUUUCCAGGACUCUGGAAAGAUCAAUGACCCAACGCCGAUUCCAGAUUCUGACCUGUGGAGGACUGGAGGCAUGUCUAAGGGAGGAAGUGGACGAAUCCGGAUCUGUCAUUUGUGGGGAAUUUAUGUUUGAUGAGAAUAGUGUUGAGAUGAAGGGGAAUUAGAUUGUAAUUUGUUUCAACGAUUAAACUGUUUUUUGAUAAA